rnacentral:rRNA from 1 species
UGGGGAAUAUUGCACAAUGGGCGCAAGCCUGAUGCAGCCAUGCCGCGUGUGUGAAGAAGGCCUUCGGGUUGUAAAGCACUUUCAGCGAGGAGGAAGGUGGUGAGCUUAAUACGCUCAUCAAUUGACGUUACUCGCAGAAGAAGCACCGGCUAACUCCGUGCCAGCAGCCGCGGUAAUACGGAGGGUGCAAGCGUUAAUCGGAAUUACUGGGCGUAAAGCGCACGCAGGCGGUUUGUUAAGUCAGAUGUGAAAUCCCCCGGGCUCAACCUGGGAACUGCAUUUGAAACUGGCAAGCUAGAGUCUCGUAGAGGGGGGUAGAAUUCCAGGUGUAGCGGUGAAAUGCGUAGAGAUCUGGAGGAAUACCGGUGGCGAAGGCGGCCCCCUGGACGAAGACUGACGCUCAGGUGCGAAAAGCGUGGGGAGCAAAACAGGAUUAGAUACCCCUGGUAGUCCACGCUGUAAAACGAUGUCGAUUUUGGAGGUUGUGCCCUUGAGGCGUGGCUUCCGGAGCUAACGCGUUAAAUCGACCG